rnacentral:rRNA from 1 species
CCAAUAGCGUAUAUUAAAGUUGUUGCAGUUAAAAAGCUCGUAGUUGAAUUUCGGGACCAGUAUGUCGGUCGUGCUUCGGUACGUACUUGCAUUAUUGGUUUCUCCCUUCUGACGAACCAUGAUGUCAUUAAUUUGAUGUCAUGGGAAAUCAGGACUGUUACUUUGAAAAAAUUAGAGUGUUUAAAGCAGGCUCGCGCUUGAAUACAUUAGCAUGGAAUAAUGAAAUAGGACGUUUGAUUCUAUUUUGUUGGUUUCUGGGAUCGACGUAAUGAUUAAUAGGGAUAGUUGGGGGCAUUAGUAUUCAAUUGUCAGAGGUGAAAUUCUUGGAUUUAUUGAAGACUAACUACUGCGAAAGCAUUUGCCAAGGAUGUUUUCAUUAAUCAAGAACGAAAGUUAGGGGAUCGAAGACGAUCAGAUACCGUCGUAGUCUUAACCAUAAACUAUGCCGACUAGGGAUCGGAUGAUGUUAAUUUUUUAAUGACUCAUUCGGCGCCUUACG